UCACAGCAAGCUAGCCAACAUCCUCUUCACCCAGGAACUGGCCCGGAGACUAAAAGGCUCUGGCGUUACGACGUAUUCUGUACACCCUGGCACAGUCCAAUCUGAACUGGUUCGGCACUCAUCUUUCAUGAGAUGGAUGUGGUGGCUUUUCUCCUUUUUCAUCAAGACUCCUCAGCAGGGAGCCCAGACCAGCCUGCACUGUGCCUUAACAGAAGGUCUUGAGAUUCUAAGUGGGAAUCAUUUCAGAAGAAAAGAAGAAAUUGAUCAGGGAUUUUGAUGAAAAGCAACAGGAAGCAAAUGAAACGCUGGCAGAGAUGGAGGAGGAGCUACGUUAUGCACCCCUGUCUUUCCGAAACCCCAUGAU
rnacentral:lncRNA from 1 species